UAAGGAAUAUUGGUCAAUGGACGCAAGUCUGAACCAGCCAUGCCGCGUGGAGGAUGAAGGUCCUCUGGAUUGUAAACUUCUUUUAUCUGGGACGAAAAAAGGCCUUUCUAGGUCGUCUGACGGUACCAGAUGAAUAAGCACCGGCUAACUCCGUGCCAGCAGCCGCGGUAAUACGGAGGGUGCAAGCGUUAUCCGGAUUCACUGGGUUUAAAGGGUGCGUAGGCGGGCGAUUAAGUCUGUGGUGAAAUCUCUGAGCUUAACUCGGAAACUGCCAUGGAUACUAAUUGUCUUGAAUGUUGUGGAGGUGAGCGGAAUAUGUCAUGUAGCGGUGAAAUGCUUAGAUAUGACAUAGAACACCAAUUGCGAAGGCAGCUCACUACACAAAUAUUGACGCUGAGGCACGAAAGCGUGGGGAUCAAACAGG
rnacentral:rRNA from 1 species